AGGGGUCUUGUCCAUAAGGCUGCAGUACUAUAUGGGGAAAAAUGCAGAGAGCCCAGUUAUUGGUGCUCAUCUCUAAAUUCUAUUGGCAUCUCCCUCCUGUGACUUUCACUCCACCUAGAUGUUUCUGCUGUCUAUAUUCAUCCUAAUUCCCUUACUGGAAGGCACGACCCAUGCCAUGCAGCUUCAGAUCACACAGCGCCACACUCACUAAACGUUUAUCUAAUGCACAAACACCGGCACACACUAUUUUAAAAAUGAUGAGUUAAUCUCUGGUGCUAAGUGGAGGAUUUCAUUAUCUUUAUUUGCAAUAUUUGUAGGAAUCUGACUUUACCUUUUUUCCAAUAAAAAUGAUAUCAAGCAAGCAAUUUAAAAACGCGACUUAUAUAUUCAACUUAACAUCAUAAAGGAUGAGGAGCUACAGUGUUAGGAGUAAGGCCUUUAGGGUCUACUACAUACGCUCAAAUUUUGUGUGCACCCACUUUCAUGCACACAAACACACAGGUGUACCCAUGUGACAUCAUGCAGAAGGGUCAGUUGCCACCAUUUUGCUGAGUAGAAUCAGUCUCUCAGCAAGAAGCAGCCGGUUCCAGUUCUCACAAUAUAACUGCAAACCUUUGCAUAAGGCACACACUCUGCAGCUAGAUCUUCAAUUCACAGCCUACUUCACCAGUGAUGACUGUGCAGUCAUAUUUAGUGACAAGUCAUAUCCUGGCUCUAAAAAUGUCAGUGCUUGGUCACUGUGAAUCCAUUAAUGAGUUCACAUACAGACAGCAAAUAUGUAGUUCUGUGACCUCUUUGCAUCACAAUGAUAAGCCCAUGUGACAUUUUACAGACAAUGAAUAAUCAAAAUGGGGAAUUGUGAACUGGAGACAUGGCUGGGCAGUUAAGAGCACACGCUGCUCGUGGAAAGGGCCUGAGGUAGGUUCCCAGCACUCAUGUCAGGUGGCUCACAACCACUUGUAACUCCAGCUCCAGGGAUGCAACGGCCUCUUCUGGCCUCUUUGGACAUCUGCACUUGUGUGCACACAAUCUUGCCCCAUACAUAUGAUUAAUAAAAAUAAAUCUUUUUUUUCAAAGGCAGACUUGGCCAACAAAGAAACCAAAUGUGGUGUCACUGGAAUUGAGUCUGGAAUGCAGUGAAAAGUGUGCCUCGUAAGUGCUCCAAUUCAGCACUGCUCUAUCCAGCUAUGCAAACCAGAAAUCCAGGAGUCAUGCCAGACAUAUCUUCAGUUUCUCUCCCUGUCUGUCACCAAGGCCCACUGCCUUUACUCUCUCUCCUGCAUCUGAAGACAUACAUCCUUAAACUGAGCAAUCACCAUUUCCCCAGGAAUAUCAAGAGCCUUUGAACAGAA